UUAAUCAAAAUGGCAUAUGAGGUUAGGAGUAGUGGGAUCCAAGGACUAUUUCUGAAUUUGAACAUCUGUAGAUGGCCCCAUGAUGAGUAGAUUGGAGCUCUUAUAGGGAGGGAACGUUGGGCAUUAGUAAAGAAUAAGGGUGUGCUAACCACCCUGUGCCUCACAACAGUAAGAAGAAUUUGGCAGUCCUGCAGCAGCAGGUGCAUUGCCUCUCCCUACUCUGGCAGCUCUAUAACCUGGAGGCCACAGCCAGUAGCUACAGGUUUGCCUGCCUGGCUACUCUUAUGCAGAAGAAUUCAGCUGAUGAGUUUGCAAAUGAAGCCCAGGUUUGCCCAGGAAUCACAGUGGGACCUGUUUAAGCACUAUUUCUCCAACGCUUGCAGUUGGUGAAAAGAACCAAUGCCUCGCUAUUUGGUGCACAUGGCUUUGUCCGAUUCCUAGAAUGCCAUGUGUUAAUGUUACAGAAAAUGCCAGAGGGUAUCUUCAUGCAUAUUCCUCUAGAGCUUCACAGCCAAACCCUUGAGGUACCUGUUUCUCAGCUGUCCUUUGACUAACACCUGAUUCACUUAGUUCUACCCUAUGGUGCUCUUUCUACCACCUGCAUCUCUUCCUUUUUUCCCUUUUACUGGCUCUGUUUCCCUUUACUCUUUGAAUCCUUUGUUUCUCCACCUAGAAAGUUUCUACCUACCUUAUGUAUCCUUCCCGAUAUUAUUGCAUCUAGUUCUGGACUGGGUUUCUUAACUUUCCACCUUUGCCAGCUGCUACCCAGUAUCAUUAAAAUAUUAACAUUUAGCCUUGCUCAAUGGACCUGUAGUCUAUGGUUCAGUCUAUAAUUUGAUACAGCUCCCUCCAGCCCUUCUGAGUCUAAAACACAUUCCA
rnacentral:lncRNA from 1 species